UGUUGAAUGCCGUGCUGUAGUCGAUGAACAGCAUUCUCACAUAGGUAUUCCUCUUGUCCAGAUGGGUUAGGGCACUGCUUCCACUGUAUUAUACGCAAUGUAACACUAUCAUUCUCCCUUGAUUAGGCCGGCCAAAUGAUCCUUUAUUUUACUCUAUCAGUGUUAGUCAAUAUGGGUUUGUUUCACGACUAGUCAAUCAAUACAAGUAAUAAAUAGUAAGUGAUCCGAUCCAUUCAUUCAUAGACAUCCUGCCCCUGGGCAAAUAUUGAAUCUUGGCUCACCAUCAUGCCUACCUACGUUCCAACUAUUCAGCUAUUUUGUUCAGAUCAUUUAAAACCCAACAGGUUUUUAAUCUAAAUGUUGUCCAAAUCUAUUUGCAGUACUCAUAUGUUUGACAUUUUUUCACAGCUUGUGUUACAGGAAACUUUGAAAAAGCAGAGCUUUUUCUUCACCAAGACAAUGUUUAACAAUACAGUUCAGCUGAAAUGGUUGACGGAACACUGUGAACCUCCGGUAAAACUCAACAUCUCCUGGUGCCUAAGGAGCUCCCGCUGCUUCGAAGAGGUAUUCGGUCUCCACCCUCUGAAGGCAGGGAGCUACUUCAGAACGACAACUGUGAAGCAGGAAGGAUGCAGUGGGUUCUAUGUGUUUUAUCAGUACCCUGCCAUUGAGUGCAAACAGCACAUGACACACAGUGAGCCUGUCACUGUCAAGCACAAAGAGAUGAGGAAAAGGAGCGCUGAGAAUCCAAAGGAGACGGUUGCUGUCAAAGCAGAGGCAGCUGUGGCCACAGGCAAAGCCCCAGCCCCCUCUGCAAAGAAACAAGUGGCCAAGGCUCAGUGCAUUGAUACACAGGGUGGUUGGGGUGGGACUGCUCAUUUCAUUUUUACCUUAUAUUCUCCGUUGUCGAGGGAAUCCUGAGGGUCAAUUCGGGUAAGUCUGGUCUCUGUCCUCUCCUUUCUGAUCAAUAUACUACCUCGCUAUUCCCCCCAAAUAUAUUGUCCACCUAACUAGACUAUUAAAACAUGUUGAUGCGUUUUUGAUACGGAACUAAACUAAACAAUGCCAUGAUGCUCUUUGUUGAAUAUCUUCAUCUUUGGCCAAAGGAUGCCAGGAAUCUUGUGUGUGUAGUAGUACCGUCAUUCCACUGUCAGUGUUUGCCUGUCUUUCUCACAGGGUCAGGGGGGCAGUAGCAGACUACUGUGUGACAUUAUUCUGGCGUUCACUGACUCGUGCGUUGUGUGGUGGAUAUCCUUUUGGAGCGGUCAGACAUUAGAGGCCAUCGGUCUGCCUGUCUGUCAGUCAGCGUGUUAAUCUAGUUGUCACUGUAUGCAGUUAGUCUGUCAGUAUUAAGACUUCUUUUAUUUGUCUCCCUCCUGGGCAUGUUUGUCUUGAGCUGUGUUUCCAAAGCUUACUCAGAUCUCCUCAUCCCUUUUACCAGUGUCUCUCAUAACUUCUCCAACAAGUUUGAGUCCAACCCUCUUUGAGUGGCAGUUUGGUUCUACACGGGUCCUCUUGGUGUGUAUCUGUCUAUCUGCAUGGCUGCCUGAAGAGUAUGUGAUAAUGUCCCCUCGCUCCCUCUGUCGAUCCCUCCCUUUCACCUGCCCCUCUGUGCUUGUAUCCGUUCCCCUCUCUGUCCCUUUCAGGCUGAAGCUGAUCUGGUGCCGCUUGCUGCCAUUCCGUUGGCUGUGCUCGACUCUACCCUCUGCUGGUGGAUAUCGUGUACUGUACUUCCCUUCACCUUUCACUUUCCCUCCCUCUCACCCCCCCACCCCUUCCCCCCUCCCCUCCGACUUCAUCUUCCAACGCUCUCACUUCCUGAAAUCCCUGUGUGCGACAGUACCUUGGUGGUGGUUGGUGUUGGCAGUUCUCCCUCUAUUUCCGCUUGCCUUUGUCUCAGAGAAGGGAAUAACCCAGAAGGGAAUAUUUCCAGAAAAUAUUCUCCGUAGACAUCAGCCAUAGUCACAUGGAUUAAUGACAUGUUUAAUUACAGGGCCACUUAUAGCAAGGCUAUCAAUAACUUUAUUUAGAAGAGCUCGUAGGAACUGCUGACUUUUGACAAAUGCAUUAUUUUAUUCUCACGGAUGGCCACAUUCUUUUUCUCCUGCAGUUUGACAGGACAGUAUUUUAGUGGAUUCAGUUAGUUAACCAAUUAGCCAGAAAACCAGUUAGUAUAGCGAUGACUAAAACCAUACCAGGUUUUCCAGCCGUGCUUAACCUGGCCAUGGGGGGCAGAAGGGAGCUCAACUCCUCCUGAGUGAUGAGAAAAUGGCUGAAAACCUACAGACACUUACACCCUGAUUAGCUUGGGUUUACGUUCAGGUAUAUCAGCUCAGUUGACAAGGUGGGCAAACUCUUCGGUGUUGGUUAUGUUGAAAGUCAAUGGAAGAAGACUGGUAUUAUAGGGUUAACUGUUUUUGUUGAGAAUUGUAUUUCAAAGGUUGGCUGUUUGUUAUCUGGGUGUGUCCUGGGAUUAUGUUGGGAGUCCUUGACAGCCAAUCACAUCUUUAUCAGCCUGGCCCAGACCAUGAAGCUCCUUCGCCUCCAAAGAAACGUGGUCAAGCUCUCCCUGUAUCGCCACUUUACCAACACCCUCAUAUUCACCGUUAUUGGUGAGGAGCUGUCUGCGGCUGUGCUACUGCAACCACUUAACAGAGACAUUUCAUACAUAGUGUACUAUACACCUUGGUGUGCCCAUGAUUACAAGCAUUCACUAAUCUAAUAUAUUUGGCCUGUCACUGUUCUACUCUGCAGCCUCAGCAAUUUUCAUUAUCUGGAUGAUGAAGACCUUCAAGGUUUCAAAGUGCCAGUCGGUGAAUAGUGUUUGUUUACUACGUUACGUAACUUUUUAAGCCACGGGUGUCCAAACACGUGCGUGUGGUUUGAGUAAAAAUAAUAAUAAUCGAACUCAAUAUACUUUAAAAUGUCUAAAACCAAAUCGAAACUGUAGAAAUGAUAAUGAACCCACAUUCAUAGUUUCUUGACUGUUUCCAGCGUGCUAACAAAUGAAAAGCUAGACAGUCAGAGAGCAUCGGAAAUAACAUUUUCUUGACAAUUUUGACGUCACAGUUGACCUCUAGUGAACUGGUAUUUAGCAUUAUAUAUAUUAUCUUUCACAUUCUCUUCCAUCUCUCUUAUUCACUCUCUUUGUAUCUCUCCAGGACUGGAGGGAACUGUGGAUAGACUGCUUCCUGGCGGUUCCUCUUCUCCACCAUCCUUCUGGUCAUCAUGUUUCUGUGGAGGCCGUCUGCCAACAACCAGAGGAUGAGGAUCUGAAAUGGGUGGAAGAGAAUAUCCCAUCUUCAAUGG